GACGUAGGGCGCGAGCGUUGUCCGGAUUUAUUGGGCGUAAAGGGCGCGUAGGCGGUCGUGACAAGUCACUUGUGAAAUCUCCGGGCUUAACUCGGAACGGUCAAGUGAUACUGUCGGACUAGAGUGCAGAAGGGGCAACUGGAAUUCUCGGUGUAGCGGUGAAAUGCGUAGAUAUCGAGAGGAACACCUGCGGCGAAGGCGGGUUGCUGGGCUGACACUGACGCUGAGGCGCGAAAGCCAGGGGAGCGAACGGG
rnacentral:rRNA from 1 species